rnacentral:rRNA from 1 species
GACGUAGGGGGCAAGCGUUGUCCGGAAUCAUUGGGCGUAAAGCGCGUGUAGGCGGCCCGGUAAGUCCGCUGUGAAAGUCCAGGGCUCAACCCUGGAAUGCCGGUGGAUACUGUCGGGCUCGAGUCCGGAAGAGGCGAGUGGAAUUCCUGGUGUAGCGGUGAAAUGCGCAGAUAUCAGGAGGAACACCUAUGGCGAAGGCAGCUCGCUGGGACGGUAUUGACGCUGAGACGCGAAAGCGUGGGGAGCGAACAGG